UACAAGUCUCCGUUGGUGAACCAGCGGAAGGGAUCAUUA
rnacentral:rRNA from 1 species